rnacentral:rRNA from 1 species
AGCAGCCGCGGUAAUUCCAGCUCCAAUAGCGUAUAUUAAAGUUGUUGCAGUUAAAAAGCUCGUAGUUGAACUUCGGGGUUUACCCAUUGGUCAGGCUUAAGUUGUCUGUACUGGUGAGAUGAAUCUCUACCUUCUGAGGAACUUUCAUGCCAUUUAGUUGGUGUGAUUGGAAAUCAGGACUGUUACUUUGAAAAAAUUAGAGUGUUUAAAGCAGGCUAACGUCUGAAUACAUUAGCAUGGAAUAAUGAAAUAGGACGGAUUGGUUCUAUUUCGUUGGUUUCUAGGAUCACCGUAAUGAUUAAUAGGGAUAGUUGGGGGCAUUAGUAUUCAAUUGUCAGAGGUGAAAUUCUUGGAUUUAUUGAAGACUAACUAUUGCGAAAGCAAUUUGCCAAGGAUGUUUUCAUUAAUCAAGAACGAAAGUUAGGGGAUCGAAGACGAUCAGAUACCGUCAUAGUCUUAACCAUAAACUAUGCCGACUAGGGAUCGGACGAAGUUAAUUUUAUAAUGUACGCGUUCGGCU